rnacentral:rRNA from 1 species
GAUGAACGCUGGCGGCGUGCCUAAUACAUGCAAGUCGAGCGAACAGACGAGGAGCUUGCUCCUCUGACGUUAGCGGCGGACGGGUGAGUAACACGUGGAUAACCUACCUAUAAGACUGGGAUAACUUCGGGAAACCGGAGCUAAUACCGGAUAAUAUAUUGAACCGCAUGGUUCAAUAGUGAAAGACGGUUUUGCUUUCACUUAUAGAUGGAUCCGCGCCGCAUUAGCUAGUUGGUAAGGUAACGGCUUACCAAGGCAACGAUGCGUAGCCGACCUGAGAGGGUGAUCGGCCACACUGGAACUGAGACACGGUCCAGACUCCUACGGGAGGCAGCAGUAGGGAAUCUUCCGCAAUGGGCGAAAGCCUGACGGAGCAAAGCCGCGUGAGUGAUGAAGGUCUUCGGAUCGUAAAACUCUGUUAUUAGGGAAGAACAAAUGUGUAAGUAACUAUGCACGUCUUGACGGUACCUAAUCAGAAAGCCACGGCUAACUACGUG